UGGCCUGCAGCAGGAGGAGCUGGGCCCGAUGGCCUUUUUGGUCUCUUCCAACUCUGCUAUUCUGUAAU